GAUGAAGAACGCAGCGAAAUGCGAUACGUAAUGCGAAUUGCAGAUUCAGCGAGUCAUCGAGUCUUUGAACGCACAUUGCGCCCCCAGGCACUCCUGGGGGCUUGUCCGACCGAGCGCCGCCGCGCAGCUCGGGGAGCUCUCGUCCCCGGCGUUGGGGCCCCGGCGAGCCCGGCCUCGCAGCCCCCAAAUCCAGCGGCGGCCGCCCGCUGGCGACCCACGCGCAGCAGCAGACCCAAGCCUGCCCGGGACGCCGCGGAUGGCCCGCCAAACGCAAGCCCCCCCCCCCCUCUCGAGCUAGGGGAGGGCAACCCAGCAAACCCGCUGGCCUCGGGUCGGACAAGGUUACCCGCUGAACUUAAGCAUAUCAAUAAGCGGAGGA
rnacentral:misc_RNA from 1 species